rnacentral:lncRNA from 1 species
CGGACGCACUGACAGCGGCGCCAGUCGGGCUGUGGCUAGUCGUUCUCGCGGUCCACACCACUGAGGCGAGAGGAGGAGGGGGAGCUCUGAGGAGAAGAAUGAGGACGAAUCGGCACCUUCGCUGCUCGACCCCCCCUGCGCUCCUGUCCACCCGGCGCAAGCACUUUUUCUCUUGCGACUGAGCGCGCUGCUGAGGCAGAUGCAGCCGAGCCAGGAGGCAGCCUGGCCAGGGGAGCCACUGUCCAGUUUCCCAUCUCCUGGCCAUCGCUUCUUAUAAGACAAACAUUAGCAGAGACUAAGAGCACACCUACAAUUCAAUUCCAAGGAGGCGUGGUACAAGGGAAAAAGCAAUUCAUCUGGAGUCUGAGAGCCUGGGUUCAAAUCCUGCCUCUAGGAUUGUGGGUAAAUCAAUUAACCCUCCUGGGACUUUUUCCUCAUGUGAAAAACAAGUGGGUUGGAC